AUUUUUUUCAGGUGGGCUUUCCCCCUUUGCUAAGUAUUGUAAGCAGACUGAAUCAGGCAACAGUAACCAGUGUCUUAGAAUACCUGAUAAGCUGGUUUGGAGAGAAAAAAUUUACCCCAGAACUGGGCAGGUGGCUUUAUGCGCUGUUGGCAUGCCUUGAAAAACCUUUGCUACCUGAAGCUCACUCCCUUAUUCGACAGCUGGCAAGACGAUGCUCAGAAGUCAGAAUACUAGAGGAGAACAAGAAUGAAGAACAAAUAUCAGCUCUGAACUUGAUAAUCUGCUUAGUUAGCAGGUACUUCGAUCAACGUGACUUGGCUGAUGAGCCUUCCUAGACUGUUUUGAGAAUACCAAGUAUUUUGCGUUGCCCUAGUAGAAACAGCAUUAUCAGAGUUAACAGCAAGACACUGCACCGUUCAGGCCUGAAGUACUAUACAACCCCUUCAGAACGCCCUCAAGAUAAUGCAUUUGGGACAGCUUUGAAUACCUUAAGCUGAGCUUUAGCAUGAGAUUGUCAAUGUCUCCGGUAUGAUCACCACCAUCAUUGUAAAAUGGUCAAUGAAGUGUCUGGCAUCAUCUCUCAAGCUACUGUCUCUGUAAACUACAUUCUUGGUUAGAAAUUUCUACCAUCUGAGUAGUCCUGUGGACACCACUAUUAGGUGAAGUCUGAGGGUACAUUAUAAAUGAUUGUUAACUUUAGCACACACACAUUGAGGGCUUUUUUAAUAAAACUGAAGCAUUUUAAGGAGUGUUCUUAAACAUUGUGGCUUUUCUCAUUCUUCUAUCAUACUUAACAGCAGCCUUACUAUAGAAAUUUACACAACUAGGACAAUGUGCUUUUUCAAUCUUUUAAGCACUGCUAAGCAGUUCAACUAUAGCCACUAGGUUACUGAAACAAUUAUUUUAGUAA